rnacentral:rRNA from 1 species
AACGAACGCUGGCGGCAGGCUUAACACAUGCAAGUCGAGCGCCCCGCAAGGGGAGCGGCAGACGGGUGAGUAACGCGUGGGAACGUACCCUUUGCUACGGAAUAGCUCCGGGAAACUGGAAUUAAUACCGUAUGUGCCCUACGGGGGAAAGAUUUAUCGGCAAAGGAUCGGCCCGCGUUGGAUUAGCUAGUUGGUGGGGUAAUGGCCUACCAAGGCGACGAUCCAUAGCUGGUCUGAGAGGAUGAUCAGCCACAUUGGGACUGAGACACGGCCCAAACUCCUACGGGAGGCAGCAGUGGGGAAUAUUGGACAAUGGGCGCAAGCCUGAUCCAGCCAUGCCGCGUGAGUGAUGAAGGCCUUAGGGUUGUAAAGCUCUUUCACCGGAGAAGAUAAUGACGGUAUCCGGAGAAGAAGCCCCGGCUAACUUCGUGCCAGCCGCCGCCGUAACAC